rnacentral:rRNA from 1 species
CACGUAGGGGGCGAGCGUUGUCCGGAAUCAUUGGGCGUAAAGAGCUCGUAGGCGGCUCAGUAAGUCGGGUGUGAAACCCUCAGGCUCAACCUGGGGACGCCACCCGAUACUGCUGUGGCUAGAGUCCAGUAGGGGAGUGUGGAAUUCCCGGUGUAGCGGUGAAAUGCGCAGAUAUCGGGAGGAACACCAGCGGCGAAGGCGGCACUCUGGGCUGGAACUGACGCUGAGGAGCGAAAGCGUGGGGAGCAAACAGG